GACGGGGAUAGUCAAGCCCACCUCCUAGGGUCGCUAGGAGUUUUACGAGAGAUGAGAUGAAGGCCUUGGUGCGCAGGUCCAGCGCUCAGCAAUAGGGCGGGACGCGGACCCUGCCUUAGGGACCGUGGCGGAGGCUUCCAGGCUCACCUGGGCGGCGCACCGGUCCAGGUAGAGCUCCAGGUACGUCUCUUCCUCCUCCAUGGACAGAGGGCUCACUGUUCGGGUUGGGAAUCGGGGGAAAAGCCAGCGCGAAUCGAGCUGCGGCUGUCUCACGAGGCGCGCGGAGCUCAGAAGCCAUUUAACAGCCCGCGGCCGCACGUGGCGAGGCGGGGCCCGGGCUGGGGGCUGGGAGCCGAGGACCCGCGGCCGGUUGUGUGCCCUCGCCCCGGACCCGCCCAGUCCACGCUCCUGCGGGUGGCGCGAGGGGAUGGAUGCUGAGCCAGGGAGGGGGAUGCGGAGCUCAGCGCGCGGCCCACGGGUCGCGAGCAAGGGAAGGGGGGCUGGGGCUGGGGCUGGGGCUGCGGCUGGGGCUGGGGGCUAAGGCUGGCGCUGGAGGCUGGGGCUGGGGCGGGGAGACUCUCCUCGCCGGGUGCUAUCGCCGCACUCCGCCCACAGCUGAGAAGCAACUCGGCCUGCAAAUCUGGAGAUUUCCUUCGACCUGCAAAGGCUGGAGAAAAGAAGAGAGAAACACCAGGGAUGCCUGUGCACAGAGAAAAAGGCCAUGUGAGGACACAAUGAGAAGGUGGUCAUCUUCAACCCAAGGAGAAGGGCCUCAGGAGAAAAUAGACCUUCUGACACCUUGAUCUGGGACUUUCAGCCUCCAGAACUGGAGUCGGGCUGACAGAGCAGCCUCUGUCUGGAAUAUUGCUGGUCUAGUGGCAGAAGGAAAGAGAUCAUGGUGAACCAUGCACUGACUCUUCAGGCUUCUUCCUGUUGCCGCAUCCAGAGGCCUUGCCCCCGGCCCUUCACACCAGGGUUCCUGGUGCAAAAUGGCUGCACUGCUCAGUGGGCCAUGUGCAAAAGUGCCACAACUGACACUCAAUUCAGGAUGGUGGCACCCGGCACUUCCACUGUGAGCUGGAGCCUGAGCAAGGCGGCUACUCCUGGUCCCGCGAGAUCUCCACCCCCUCCCUGCUGAUGAGAUGCGUAUACUGCAGCCCCACUAGCGUGGGCUCUGGAGCAGGAGCUCCCACCUCUCCAUUCUUUGAUCAAAGAAAAAAGCUUGCCUUUGCUUCUGAACUCUGUCUUGGUCUACUGGCUCGAGUAACACCCGGCAGGAAGACCCUUGCUGGGGACCAACUCGAAAAGAAGCCAUCAUCUGUGAGACUUCAGUUUUUCGUUGUGAUGAUGGUGAGAGUGACAUUGUGAGAGCUCGCUACAUGCCCGGCACUGUACUAAGCACUCCGUGCCUCUCAUCUCCACCUCACAACAACUCUCUGAGAGGUAUUCUUACCUGCAUGCUACAGGUGAGGAGACCUGGAAAGUUCAAGAAACAGCCAAAGUCCACACAGCUACAAAGAGACAGAGCCAGGACUAAAAGCGAGGUCUUUUUUAAUCUGUUGCUUCCUUAGUUAUGCAUUUUGUUUUAAAAGGCAAAUGCGUUUACCUUAAUUAAUUCUCUGAUAGAUGAAAAGAAAAACAGGUAGGAUUUUAUUCGGUUGAAUGAUGUGAAAGGGCUGUUUUUGUAGAUCAAAACAGUAAAAUAUUGGCAAUUUCAUAGAAGUCAAUCUGAUAACUCACAAGUGAGCAACUGGUGCAUUUUCUUUUUCAUGUCCCGAGGAGGCUAACGGGCUAAUAUGCACAAAAUUAUGGAUCGCUGUUAAGUUUUGGCAUCAUCCUGAAAACAUAGGUGUCCCCUGAUAGCUCCAUUGGAACCCUGGCGCCACCCUCCUCUAUAUGCACUUUAUAGAAAAGAAAGUCUCCAGGGAGAACAGGGCUACUGCAUAGACCUCAUUCUUUGUGGGUCACAUAUGGACAGAGAAAGCACUCUCUAUACUGCCCUUUUAGGGCAGAUGGUGGGACCUGUCUGUGAUGGGAUGCUUCAGGUUUUUAGUUUCUCUCCUCUCCAAAUAGUAAAUCCUUGCAUUAUUUGGAGUAUUAAAGGUUGCCUCUGAACCUGUCUUCACUUCAUUAUCCUAUAGUGGCAAUUAUAAUGUUAAUACACUCUGUGUGUACACACAUACAUAGUUUAGUUAACGCUGAUUAAGGAAAACUCUUCUUAUCAAAGCAGUGCAUUUCUCUCUUCCUUUUUCUUUAUAUCAAAACAGCCUGAAAUAGGUCUUUACAAUAAUACAAUAGAAUAUUGAAGUUCUUAAAAAGUAAGGAAAUGCUGACACACGCUGCAACAUGGGUGAACCUGGAGGACAUCAUGCUAAGUGAUAUAAGCCAAUCACAAAACAAUAAAUAAUAUACAAUUUCACGUAUAUGAGGUAUCUAGAGCAGUCAAAAUCACAGAAAGCAGAAUGGUGGUUGCCAGAAGCUUGGGGGAAGGGGAAAAUAGGGAGUUAUUGUUGAAUGAGUAUAGAGUUUCAGCUUUGCAAGAUGAAAAAGUUUUGGAGAUUGAUUGUACAGCAAUAUGAAUAUACUUAACAAUACUGAACUGUCCACUUAAAAUGGUCAAGAUGGUAAAUUUUAUGUUAUGUGUAUUUUAUCACAAUUUAAAAAAAAGAGUGAAGUUUAAAAAAAGUCCAGUUUUCCCAAGAUUUCUUAUUAGUAUAUGGGAAGAUGUGUGAGUUGUCUAUGAAGAUUAUUUUAGAAUGCAAAAGUAAAGACAGCAGUUGAUUAUUCUUUUUAAAUUAGUCCUUUAAACUCUCUGAAUAGAAAAAGCUAGUUGACAAUUUUUCAUUUAAUGCCAGAUUUGUUACAUUUUACCUGUAAAUAUCUACAGACUUUGAAUACAGUAGUUGUAUGCUCUUCCCAAGACAAACAUGGAGCUUUAAAAAUAUAUUGACAACGGGUUCUCUCAUCAAUUUAAUGGUCUAAGGCAGAAUUUCAUACUGUUACAUUUUUUAAGAGCAUAGCAGCUCUGAAUACAAGACUUUUUAUCCUUUCCUCCAUGUCCAGAUAUCCUAAUGAGUAGUUUCAUGAAUAUCAGGACCAGAUUUAUAUCUUAUUUAAGCUUUAAAACUGCUAACUGAAAGUGCAACAAAGAUUUUUGCUUUUUUUUUUUCUAUUCUCUUGUUGAGGUGACAGGAAGUUACAUCUUUCUUCUUAAAAUGCAGGAGGAUCAAGAAUAUUUUAUAUAACUGUUUAGGGUAACACUUAAGUAUCAUUGCCAAUUCUGUGUGAAUGGAUUCUCAGUGAACAAAGGUGCAGGUGUAAAUGUUAGGAGCUUAAGAGAAGUCACAGGUAUUUUACAAGAAUAAGGUAAUUAUGAUGUGUCAGAAAUGACGAGGUCAGAAAGUAAAAUGCAAUGGGAAAAAAGAGCAGAAAGAUACUGUCUGGAAGCAACCUAAAUGUCCGUUGAGAGAGGAAUGGAUAAAGAAGAUGUGGUACGUAUAUACAAUGGAAUAUUACUCAGCCAUUAAAAAGAACAAAAUAAUGCUAUUUGCAGCAACAUGGAUGGACCUAGAGAUUAUCAUACUGAGUGAAGUAAGUCAGACAGAGAAAGACAAAUAUCAUAUGAUAACACUUAUAUGUGGAAUCUAAAAAAUGGUACAAAUGAACUUAUUUACAAAACAAGAAUAGAGUCACAGGGUAGAAAACAAAAUAUGGUUACCAGGAGGGCAAGGGGGGAGGGAUAAAUUGGGAGACUGGAGGGAUAGAUUGGGAGAUUGACAUAUAUACACUACUAUAUAUGAAAACUAAUAAGGACCUACUGUACAGCACAGGGAACUCUACUCAAUACUCUGUAAUGACCUAUAUGGGAAAAGAAUCUAAAACAGAGUGGAUAUGUGUAUAUGCAUAACUGAUUCACUUUGCUCUACACCUGAAACUAACAC